rnacentral:rRNA from 1 species
GACUCUUGACAAUGAAUAUCUCGACUCUCGAAUCGAUGAAGAAGGUAGCGAAAUUCGAUACUUGGUGUGAAUUGCAGAAUCUCGUGAAUCAUCGAGUCUUUGAACGCAAGUUGCGCCCGAAGCCAUUUUGCCGAGGGCACGUCUGCCUGGGCGUCA